UAGCAUGCUAUUCUACUGAAACUGAUAAACAUAACAUAAGCUUGUAUGGGUACUUUGGCGAAUAGUUACUUGAGCUCGGCCGGUAGCGCACAUCACAGACUUUGUUCCUUCUUAAAACUCUUUACUUAACCUUUUAGAAAACUUUUUCUUUUUCAAAAUCUUUUAAUCCCUCGAUUUGAGUUCAGACACCCCCGAAGGUGUGUCCGAAUCCCUCAAACCAGGGCUAUGAUACCAACUUGUAACGACCCAUUUUUCACGUCCAAAAGUUUCAUUUUCCAAUUAAUAUUUAGUAAAUUCAUUUGUAAAUAAACAUUGUCCGAUCAAACCAUUUCAUGAACAUAUACUAUGUCUGAAAACCAAAACUGUGAACUAUNGUAAAUAAACAUUGUCCGAUCAAACCAUUUCAUGAACAUAUACUAUGUCUGAAAACCAAAACAUGUGAACUAUCAAAAUGUCAGAGUAUGAAUCCCAGAACAAUCCCAUGAAUGCGGAAAAACAGUGUGUGUGUAUGAUGUUCCGCUACCGCGCCAGCUCUUUCCCCUUCGACGAAGAGGUACUUGAAACCAAAACUGUAAACUGUAAGCACGAAGCUUAGUGAGUUCCCCCAUCGUACCACAUACCAUACGAUCACAUAACAUACAUACUGCCAGACUAUUCUAGGGUGCCUAACAACUCGGUGCGGCCAUUCUGGGGUGCCGACUACCCGUGCGACCAUUCUAGGGUGCCGUCCUACCUGUGUCAAGCCAUUC
rnacentral:lncRNA from 1 species